rnacentral:rRNA from 1 species
AGAGUUUGAUCCUGGCUCAGAAUCAACGCUGGCGGCGCGCUUAACACAUGCAAGUCGCACGAGAAAGUGGGCAACCAUGAGUACAGUGGCGAACGGGUGAGUAACACGUGGGUAAUCUACCUCUGAGUGAGGAAUAACCCUGGGAAACCGGGGCUAAUACCGCAUAAGCUCGAGAGAGGAAAGCAGCAAUGCGCUGAGAGAGGAGCCCGCGGCCGAUUAGCUAGUUGGUAGGGUAAAAGCCUACCAAGGCAGAGAUCGGUAGCCGGCCUGAGAGGGCACACGGCCACACUGGCACUGAAACACGGGCCAGACUCCUACGGGAGGCAGCAGUGGGGAAUCUUGCACAAUGGGGGAAACCCUGAUGCAGCGACGCCGCGUGAGCGAUGAAGCCCUUCGGGGUGUAAAGCUCUUUCGUCAGGGAAGAUAAUGACGGUACCUGGAGAAGCAGCUGCGGCUAACUACGUGCCAGCAGCCGCGGUAAUACGUAGGCAGCGAGCGUUGUUCGGAGUUACUGGGCGUAAAGGGUGUGUAGGCGGUUCUUUAAGUUUGGUGUGAAAUCUCCCGGCUCAACCGGGAGGGUGCGCCGAAUACUGAGGGACUCGAGUGCGGGAGAGGAAAGUGGAAUUCCUGGUGUAGCGGUGAAAUGCGUAGAUAUCAGGAGGAACACCGGUGGUGUAGACGGCUUUCUGGACCGUAACUGACGCUGAAACACGAAAGCGUGGGUAGCAAACAGGAUUAGAUACCCUGGUAGUCCACGCCCUAAACGAUGCAUAUUUGGUGUGGGUCAUUCAGUUGAUCCGUGCCGGAGCUAAC